GGAGUUGUAGUUCUCAAAACAACUGGAGGACACUAGGUUGAAGAAGGCUACUGUAAUGACAUUUGGGAGCAAAGGGGCUUAAGUGCCUCUGAAACAAAGGGACACUGAAGAUUUGAAGACUUCCUUUUCCAAAAAAAUGAAACCAACCUGAAUUGGUGUGCAUAAUGCAUCAGGAAGAAAAGACUUUGCACGUUUUAUUUUAUUUUUCUAAAUUAAAUAAAGGCUAGCUUUUAAAAGAG